rnacentral:rRNA from 1 species
ACGAACGCUGGCGGCGUGCUUAACACAUGCAAGUCGAACGGAAAGGCCCUGCUUUUGUGGGGUGCUCGAGUGGCGAACGGGUGAGUAACACGUGAGUAACCUGCCCUUGACUUUGGGAUAACUUCAGGAAACUGGGGCUAAUACCGGAUAGGAGCUCCUGCUGCAUGGUGGGGGUUGGAAAGUUUCGGCGGUUGGGGAUGGACUCGCGGCUUAUCAGCUUGUUGGUGGGGUAGUGGCUUACCAAGGCUUUGACGGGUAGCCGGCCUGAGAGGGUGACCGGCCACGUUGGGACUGAGAUACGGCCCAGACUCCUACGGGCGGCAGCCGUGGGGUAUAUUGCGCGAUGGGCGGAAUCCUGAUGCAGCAACGCCGCGUGCGGGGUGACGGCCUUCGGGUUGUAAACCGCUUUCGCCUGUGACGAAGCGUGAGUGACGGUAAUGGGUAAAGAAGCACCGGCUAACUACGUG